CGGGGCUGGGAGCUCCGCGGAGGCUGGAGCGGGCCCGCCGACCUGCAGGGCUCUGCUCGCUCCCUCGCUGGCUCUCAGCUCCACCCUUUCUUGGGGUCUUCCGUUCCAUCCACAGGAUCAAACCCAGGGCCUCACACAUGGAGAGCGCUGUAGCUGAGCCAUCUCCCAGGCCCCUGAGUUAUGCAUCGCGGGCACCAGGUUCCAGAUACUACCAUGAUGCCAACCAGACUUCCCUGGACAGACAACCCCACCAAUGUGUCCUAGAGCUCCAGUUCCCCAGAACCCCACCUCACUAGGGAAAGAGAGAGGCAGGCUGGGAGUAUGGAUUGACCUGUUAAUGCCCAUGUUCAGCGGGGAAGCAAUUACAGAAGCCAGACCUUCCACCUUCUGCAUCCCACAAUGACCCUGGGUCCAUACU